rnacentral:snoRNA from 1 species
GAAAAUGAUGAUAGUUUAUUGUCGCCCCAGUCUAAGUUGCAUCCAAAAUAUUGGAUUUGCAAGAUGGUGAUUGACUUGUUAUAUCUGAUUC